rnacentral:rRNA from 1 species
AUUGAACGCUGGCGGCAGGCCUAACACAUGCAAGUCGAACGGUAACAGGAAGCAUCUUGCUGCUUUGCUGACGAGUGGCGGACGGGUGAGUAAUGUCUGGGAAACUGCCUGAUGGAGGGGGAUAACUACUGGAAACGGUAGCUAAUACCGCAUAACGUCGCAAGACCAAAGAGGGGGACCUUAGGGCCUCUUGCCAUCGGAUGUGCCCAGAUGGGAUUAGCUAGUAGGUGGGGUAACGGCUCACCUAGGCGACGAUCCCUAGCUGGUCUGAGAGGAUGACCAGCCACACUGGAACUGAGACACGGUCCAGACUCCUACGGGAGGCAGCAGUGGGGAAUAUUGCACAAUGGGCGAAAGCCUGAUGCAGCCAUGCCGCGUGUAUGAAGAAGGCCUUCGGGUUGUAAAGUACUUUCAGCGGGGAGGAAGGGAGUAAAGUUAAUACCUUUGCUAAUUGACGUUACCCGCAGAAGAAGCACCGGCUAACUCCGUG